rnacentral:rRNA from 1 species
UACGAAGGGGGCUAGCGUUGUUCGGAAUUACUGGGCGUAAAGCGCACGUAGGCGGACCAUUAAGUCAGGGGUGAAAUCCCGGAGCUCAACUCCGGAACUGCCUUUGAUACUGGUGGUCUAGAGACCGAGAGAGGUAAGUGGAACUCCUAGUGUAGAGGUGGAAUUCGUAGAUAUUAGGAAGAACACCAGUGGCGAAGGCGGCUUACUGGCUCGGAACUGACGCUGAGGUGCGAAAGCGUGGGGAGCAAAC